UGUUUCUUCUAUAGUGAAUAUUUCACCAUGGAGUUAGUUUCCGAAGUGAUCCUGUCGAGGAAUGGAAUUAUAUUAUUUCAGAGAGGGAGUAAGAUCAAAGACCACGGGGAGAAA